UACGGAGGGGGCUAGCGUUAUUCGGAAUUACUGGGCGUAAAGCGCACGUAGGCGGACUGGAAAGUCAGGGGUGAAAUCCCAGAGCUCAACUCUGGAACUGCCUUUGAUACUGGGUGUCUUGAGUGUGAUAGAGGUAUGUGGAACUCCGAGUGUAGAGGUGAAAUUCGUAGAUAUUCGGAAGAACACCAGUGGCGAAGGCGGCUCACUGGACUGGUAUUGACGCUGAGGUGCGAAAGCGUGGGGAGCAAACAGG
rnacentral:rRNA from 1 species